UGGAUGGAUAUCUGAUAACUGCCAAAACGGAAGGUACAAAAUGCAGAGAUGUCUGCUCUGUCUGGAAGGCUUCAAAAGAUUGGUCGCUUUCACUCUGCCCUCUGUGCUUCCUACUGCUGUUGCUGGAUGAUACGGCUCUGCGUAUUCUGAUCUCAUGCCUCCAUUAAUUUAUUCACCAGUUGGAGUCUUCUCUAUAAAGAAUCUUGAUUGAAAUACUGCCUGAUUUCUUAGCUGGAAUUCAGCAAGUGAAAUAUGUAUCAGGGAAGAUCAGGAACAACAAGAAAGAUUGAUUUUAGGAAAACACAUGGUGUCAUCCGCAAACUUCAGGAGUGUGCCAUCUCAUAGCCAUAAGUCUUUCUCCAGCUUAUGUUGUAAGAGAUAAGGAUAUUAAAUGGGAAGGAUCUGAGUACGGACCCCUGUGGUUCUGCACUUGUUAUCAGUGUGCAGGUAGAGUAUGAGCCACUAAUCACUACGCUCUGAAUCUAAUCAACCAACCAGCUUUUUACCCAUUUGGCUGACCACCCAGGUAGACCAUAUCAUCUUAACUUAAACGUGGGAAUACUGUGAGAGAUAGUGUUGAAAGCCUUGCUAAACUUGGGAUAAAUGAUGUUCACUGCUCUCUCCGUCUACGCAAAUUCAAUCAUUUUAUCAUAAAAGGCAACCAGAUUGGUCAGGCAUGACUUACCCUUUACAAAUCCAUUCCGGUUGUAUCCAAUCACUAUACCAGUUGUGUGCCCAGAAAUGUGUUCCCAGGGAUUGAAAUCAUGCUGACUUGCUUAUAAUUCUCUGGGUUGAUCUUUCAUGAAUUUUCCCCAAAUCUCAGGUAUUUCAGUCCUCAAUAACUGAAAGUGAAAUAUGUCAACAUGUACACUUAUUGAUGUUUUGGUUUUAAUAAGGGAAAAUUAAAAAGAAUUCUUGAUGCAGUUUUUUCACAAUGUGUAUCAGAAAAUGAUUUUGCUCUUAAAUAUGCUGCCCAGGAUAAUAUAUAACAAUCUUGGGUGAUUUCAUCAACCUGUGGAGGGAGUACUCCCUCUAUGGGAUAUGCAACCAUCUGCUUUUAUUUGGCCAGACAUUCAUUAUAAGCACCACAUAAUACUUUUGCAUUUAUUCAUUCUACUGUGUUUUGCCUUCAUUUGUUAGUCUGGCAAAGGACUUUAAUAUCAGAUUCUCAAAGGAAGGUGUUUGGCUCUGUAAUAGCUGUUCCUCAAUCACCUGGAUUUGGUAGAUUUUUCAGAAACAAAUACUUCUAAUGAGAAAAGUGAAUUGAUUCUUUAUCCCGUUGCUGAUCUGCAUGGUUUCUUAACUUGUAUUGCUAUAGCAAUAGCCGACAAAUGGAAUUCUCACUGAAAAUAUUACUAGUUUGUGCCGGAACCA